GAAUUGACGGGGGCCCGCACAAGCGGUGGAGCAUGUGGUUUAAUUCGAAGCAACGCGAAGAACCUUACCAGGUCUUGACAUCCUUUGACCACUCUGGAGACAGAGCUUUCCCUUCGGGGACAAAGUGACAGGUGGUGCAUGGUUGUCGUCAGCUCGUGUCGUGAGAUGUUGGGUUAAGUCCCGCAACGAGCGCAACCCUUGAUUUUAGUUGCCAGCAUUUAGUUGGGCACUCUAAAGUGACUGCCGGUGCAAGCCGGAGGAAGGUGGGGAUGACGUCAAAUCAUCAUGCCCCUUAUGACCUGGGCUACACACGUGCUACAAUGGAUAGUACAAAGGGUCGCGAAGCCGCGAGGUGGAGCUAAUCCCAUAAAAC
rnacentral:rRNA from 1 species